rnacentral:rRNA from 1 species
CGCGUAGACGGUUUUGUAAGUCAGAUGUGAAAUCCCUGGGCUCAACCUGGGAACUGCAUUUGAAACUGCAUGGCUAGAGUAUGGAAGAGGGAAGUGGAAUUUCCGGUGUAGCGGUGAAAUGCGUAGAUAUCGGAAGGAACACCAGUGGCGAAAGCGACUUCCUGGUCCAAUACUGACGUUCAUGUGCGAAAGCGUGGGGAGCAAACAGGAUUAGAUACCCUGGUAGUCCACGCCAUAAACGAUGACAACUAGAUGUUGGGAGGGUCUGCCUCUCGGUGUCGCAGCUAACGCGUUAAGUUAUCCGCCUGGGGAGUACGGCCGCAAGGUUGAA